rnacentral:rRNA from 1 species
UACCAGCACCCCGAGCGGUCGGGACGAUUAUUGGGCCUAAAGCAUCCGUAGCCGGUUCUACAAGUCUUCCGUUAAAUCCACCUGCUCAACAGAUGGGCUGCGGAGGAUACUAUAGAGCUAGGAGGCGGGAGAGGCAAGCGGUACUUAGUGGGUAGGGGUAAAAUCCGUUGAUCCAUUGAAGACCACCAGUGGCGAAGGCGGCUUGCCAGAACGCACUCGACGGUGAGGGAUGAAAGCUGGGGGAGCAAACCGG